rnacentral:rRNA from 1 species
AACGAACGCUGGCGGCAUGCCUAACACAUGCAAGUCGAACGAGACCUUCGGGUCUAGUGGCGCACGGGUGCGUAACGCGUGGGAACCUGCCCUUAGGUUCGGAAUAACUCCCCGAAAGGGGUGCUAAUACCGGAUAAUGUCUUCGGACCAAAGAUUUAUCGCCUUUGGAUGGGCCCGCGUUGGAUUAGCUAGUUGGUAGUGUAAAAGCCUACCAAGGCGACGAUCCAUAGCUGGUCUGAGAGGAUGAUCAUCCACACUGGGACUGAGACACGGCCCAGAAUCCUACGGGAGGCAGCAGUGGGGAAUAUUGGACAAUGGGCGAAAGCCUGAUACAGCAAUGCCGCGUGAGUGAUGAAGGCCUUAGGGUUGUAAAGCUCUUUUACCCGGGAUGAUAAUGACAGUACCGGGAGAAUAAGCUCCGGCUAACUCCGUG